UACAGAGGUGGCAAGCGUUGUUCGGAAUUACUGGGCGUAAAGGGCGCGUAGGCGGCCUUCUAAGUCAGACGUGAAAUCCCCCGGCUUAACCUGGGAACUGCGUCUGAUACUGGGAGGCUAGAGUAUGGGAGAGGGAUGUAGAAUUCCAGGUGUAGCGGUGAAAUGCGUAGAGAUGUGGAGGAACACCAGUGGCGAAGGCGACUUUCUGGCUUAUAACUGACGCUGAGGCGCGAAAGCGUGGGGAGCAAACAGG
rnacentral:rRNA from 1 species